GAGAUAGAGAGAGAGAGAGAGAGUGAGUGGAGGCCGACGGCGGCGAAAUGGAAGCCGAAGCGCGGCCUCCGUCUCCUCCUCCAAUGCCGCCGCCGCCACCUCCUCCCGCCGACUCUUCCACCGUCCACGGGUUCCAAGAAGUAGCUUCCGCCGUCUCUUCGUCGUCGUCGUUGUCGUCGUCGGCGGCGGCGGCGGCGGCGGCGGAGAUUGCUCCUCCUCCCUCUCCUCCUCCUCCUCCUCCUCCUCCUCCUCCUCUUGAUCGUAGAGAUCAAGAAGAGGCUAGUCUACGAGCCGAGCUCUUCUCCGGCGCUGCCGAGGAGGACCGAGAAGCCGCCCCGUACAUCAGCUGCGGCGGUGGCGAAGAUGGUCUCUCCGAUGAGCUCCGUGAUCAGAUCGUGCGGCAGGUUGAGUACUACUUCAGUGAUGAAAAUCUUCCUACAGAUAAGUUUCUGUUGAAAUUUGUGAAGAAAGACAAGGAUGGAUUUGUUCCAAUUGCACUUAUUGCAUCUUUUAGAAGAAUGAAGAAGCUUGUUCAGGACCUCUCGUUGAUUGAAGCAGCACUUAGGACGUCUUCUCAACUGGUUGUUAGUUUGGGUGGCAAAAAGGUGAGGAGGUUACAUCCCUUACCAAUUAAUGAAACAAAAGAUGCAAAGUUACGGACAGUUAUAGUGGAGAAUCUAUCAGAGGACUACUCAAUUGAUAGUAUUAAACAAAUAUUUGGUAAUGUCGGCAGUAUUGUCAAUGUAACCAUUCAUGACCCACAUUCAGUGGACGGUUCAGCAACAGCUAAAAGGCCUGAAAUUGUAAUUAGUAGUAAGGUACAUGUCCUUGUCGAGUACGAAUCAGUGGAGGCAGCUGAGAAAGCUGUAGCCACCCUAAAUGAUGAGAAGAAUUGGAGGAGUGGUUUGAGAGUUGAGCUUUUGUCCAAGCGAAUGGGGAAACAUGGGCUAUACCAAAAGGUAGAUAAGGGUACUAUUUCCAAGAAGAACAAUGACACUCAGCGUGGAGAGAUUGCAUCAGAGGGUGAGAAAUUAAAACCUAUGGGCCGGCAAGAUGAGACGGAUGAGGAUCAAUUAGCCGUUUUUAAGGGAGGGCGGAAGAAUCGUCAUAAAGGCCGAGGAAGGAGUAACGUUCAGCAAAAUUCUGAUGGACAGGGUCAUGAAUCUAUUCCAGUUGGUUCGAGUGCCCAGUUUAUGAGCAAGCCCAUUCCGGGACCACGAAUGCCGGAUGGAACUAGAGGGUUUGCGAUGGGGCGCGGUAAACCUGUUAAUCCCUAGCACAAACCUGGUGAGGAACGCGAAUAGAUGUCCACUCUGAGACUAUUCAUCUGAAUACCAGUUCUUCCAGGUUCUUGGAGGCCAAAAGCUGUACAAGUACCUGAGAAUAUGUGGGUAUGAAUCAGCAAAAGAAGUUGCAACUACGGUUCAUGUUAUUGUCGUCCGUCGAUGGGGCCCACGUACUAGUAGUCGCAGACAACGUCAGAGCCGCCAGGCUGGUGAUGGAAAGGAAUGCUGAGUUCUCCGCCAAGGUAUUGAUCACUUUAGCUGCUUGUUGGUGGUUGAUAAUAGUUGGAAAGAUAUAAGGUGUUAUUUCGGAACCUCAGUUCGGAACCCUCGAGCGCAGCGCAGGCGUGUUAGAGGUUUGGUUAGGGACUGGGCUGAGUUUUGCUAGACACUUUGGAUCCGCAUAUAUGUUUGUACUUGGUGUUUGUUUUCAGUAGUUCUUUUCUUAUUUUAUUUUACUUGUUCUCUCGCCGCGGCCGUUUAGAGGCCUAGUUGCCGCAACGUUAUAUGGCUAAAUUUAUUUUUCUAUUGAAUGAAGUGAUAAGCAUAUUUUCUCUCUCUCUC